rnacentral:rRNA from 1 species
AGUCGAGCGAGUCUGCCUUGAAGAUCGGAGUGCUUGCACUCUGUGAAACAAGAUACAGGCUAGCGGCGGACGGGUGAGUAACACGUGGGUAACCUGCCCAAGAGAUCGGGAUAACACCUGGAAACAGAUGCUAAUACCGGAUAACAACAGAUGAUGCCUAUCAACUGUUUAAAAGAUGGUUCUGCUAUCACUCUUGGAUGGACCUGCGGUGCAUUAGCUAGUUGGUAGGGUAACGGCCUACCAAGGCGAUGAUGCAUAGCCGAGUUGAGAGACUGAUCGGCCACAUUGGGACUGAGACACGGCCCAAACUCCUACGGGAGGCAGCAGUAGGGAAUCUUCCACAAUGGACGCAAGUCUGAUGGAGCAACGCCGCGUGAGUGAAGAAGGGUUUCGGCUCGUAAAGCUCUGUUGUUGGUGAAGAAGGACAGGGGUAGUAACUGACCUUUGUUUGACGGUAAUCAAUUAGAAAGUCACGGCUAACUACGUGCCAGCAGCCGCGGUAAUACGUAGGUGGCUAGCGUUGUCCGGAUUUAUUGGGCGUAAAGCGAGUGCAGGCGGCUCGAUAAGUCUGAUGUGAAAGCCUUCGGCUCAACCGGAGAAUUGCAUCAGAAACUGUCGAGCUUGAGUACAGAAGAGGAGAGUGGAACUCCAUGUGUAGCGGUGAAAUGCGUAGAUAUAUGGAAGAACACCGGUGGCGAAGGCGGCUCUCUGGUCUGUUACUGACGC